GACGAACGCUGGCGGCGUGCCUAAUACAUGCAAGUCGAGCGAAUCAAUAGGAGCUUGCUCCUGUUGGUUAGCGGCGGACGGGUGAGUAACACGUGGGCAACCUGCCUGUAAGACUGGGAUAACACCGGGAAACCGGUGCUAAUACCGGAUAAUCCUUCUUCUCUCAUGAGGGAAAGCUGAAAGUCGGUUUCGGCUGACACUUACAGAUGGGCCCGCGGCGCAUUAGCUAGUUGGUGAGGUAAUGGCUCACCAAGGCGACGAUGCGUAGCCGACCUGAGAGGGUGAUCGGCCACACUGGGACUGAGACACGGCCCAGACUCCUACGGGAGGCAGUAGUAGGGAAUCUUCCACAAUGGACGAAAGUCUGAUGGAGCAACGCCGCGUGAGCGAUGAAGGCCUUCGGGUCGUAAAGCUCUGUUGUUAGGGAAGAACAAGUACCGGAGUAACUGCCGGUACCUUGACGGUACCUAACCAGAAAGCCACGGCUAACUACGUGCCAGCCGCCGCCGUAAAAC
rnacentral:rRNA from 1 species